rnacentral:rRNA from 1 species
CAAUAGCGUAUAUUUAAGUUGCUGCAGUUAAAAAGCUCGUAGUUGGAUUUCGGGUGGGAAUGGCCGGUCCGCCGUUUCGGUGUGCACUUGCUACGCCCACCUUGCUGCCGGGGACGUGCUCUUGAGUUCACGCUCGGGACACGGAGUCGGCGAGGUUACUUUGAGUAAAUUAGAGUGUUCAAAGCAGGCCUACGCUCUGAAUACAUUAGCAUGGAAUAACACGAUAGGACUCUGGCCUAUCUUGUUGGUCUGUAGGACCGGAGUAAUGAUUAAGAGGGACAGUCGGGGGCAUUCGUAUUUCAUUGUCAGAGGUGAAAUUCUUGGAUUUACGAAAGACGAACUACUGCGAAAGCAUUUGCCAAGAAUGUUUUCAUUAA